AGCUUGGGUUGAGUUGACCUAAAAACUACACAGCAUGGUGACACAGCAGCAGUUUAUUCCCAGUUCAGCAUGUGCUAAGGAGAGGAAUUUUCUUUUGGAAAGUCCUGAUCAAAGGAAGAGGUUAGCUCACAGCUAUUCUGAACUGUUAGAUGGAAGAUACCAGCAUGAAAAAACCCCCACCCCGCAGAUGUGUGCCUGCCCUUACCUGACUCACCAUGCAAAUCAGGGAAGGUGCACAGAGGUCUGGAGCUCAGCAAUGCCUCCUGGUUGAAGAUGAAGGCCCGAAAGUGACAUUGUCCCAGAAGCCAUGCUUUCUUCUGCAGCUCCCGUGCUCUCCUGCACAGACUAGCCUCUGAGGGACCCGGGAUACAAGGUCAGGAUUAUAGUUCUUAGAUAUUACAAUAAACAUAUAUUUUGCUUACCUGUUUUCCCUAUUAGUCUACUAGAGCACAAGUCUCCUGAGAGCAGGGAGCUAGUCCAUUCUUGCCUGAUGAAUCCCUCACACUAACAUCUAGUAGAGUACUGUACACACAGCCAGUUUCCAUGUUUGUUGAAUGUUUGGAUGGAAGGAUACAUGUGAACUCCUCUUCCUAUUCAUGUCAUUUUCAUUGAUGGACAACAACUCGAAUGGGGCGAUUUCUACUUAUUCCUAUUCAUGUAAUAACUAUCAAAAUAGGUAGUUAUUGAAGUCAUGAACUCCUGCCAGUUAACUGGACUUAUGUCAUAUUUUUUUCUGGUGAAUUUUCACCAGCCUCUGCAAUAUGAACUUAAGACAUUGAUCACAGUGACACUAAGAAGUUCAACUAUGUCAAUAUCUACUUACAACAGAUUAUAAGCAAGCAUGUAUCUAUAUAUGUAUUUUAAGCAGCUUGCUUAAUAUUGUAUUGAUAUUAGUUCCCAACUAUAAGCUAACAGAUUAUGUUGCCAGUUCAUUGAUACCAAGUAAAAUAUAUAUUUAUAUACUUAAAUAUAUAUUUAGAUCUUAGAAAACCUUGUGUAUGAAUAAUCAGAAUAUGGACAAUAUUAUGUAGUUGUAGUCACUAGACAUACUUGAGUCUAUUUAUUAUACAUUGUCACGCACCUCUUUAUUAUUAUUAUUUUUUUUUUUUUUUGCUUGAGUCAGUCAGCAGGGAAUUUCAAUUUUGCUGACUCAUCAAAAUUCCCUUAUCUAUCCAUGAUGCAUCAUGACAUAUCAGACCAUGUGUUGUUUACCCAGAAGACCUUUAUUAUUUAUGAAAGCAACUUGAAAAGAGAAAAAAAUAA
rnacentral:lncRNA from 1 species